GACGAACGCUGGCGGCGUGCUUAACACAUGCAAGUCGAACGGAAAGGCCCUGCUUGCAGGGUACUCGAGUGGCGAACGGGUGAGUAACACGUGGGUGAUCUGCCCUGCACUUCGGGAUAAGCCUGGGAAACUGGGUCUAAUACCGGAUAGGAGCCAUUUUUAGUGUGAUGGUUGGAAAGUUUUUUCGGUGUAGGAUGAGCUCGCGGCCUAUCAGCUUGUUGGUGGGGUAAUGGCCUACCAAGGCGGCGACGGGUAGCCGGCCUGAGAGGGUGGACGGCCACAUUGGGACUGAGAUACGGCCCAGACUCCUAAGGGAGGCAGCAGUGGGGAAUAUUGCACAAUGGGCGCAAGCCUGAUGCAGCGACGCCGCGUGGGGGAUGACGGCCUUCGGGUUGUAAACUCCUUUCGCUAGGGACGAAGCUUUUUGUGACGGUACCUAGAGAAGAAGCACCGGCUAACUACGUG
rnacentral:rRNA from 1 species